rnacentral:misc_RNA from 1 species
AAGCCUAACCCUGCUCAGUUUUGUAGGAAGCCAACAUCAGCUUUGCCUGCUCCCUUAUCAACUCAUUCCUCUUCAGAAACAGCUCCAACUCAGCAACAUGCAACUCCCUCCAUUUCUCUUCCAUCUCAGCCUUUUUAGCUCCCUCCAACAUAUCCAGUCCCCGCUUUACCACAUACUCCUCCAUUCCUGCAACACUUACACUCUUAUCAAACCGUACAAAGUGUUUCAGACCAGAAUGGCUAUCCAUGUCAACCUCCAUCUUGUCAACCUUCUCAGUCUCCUUCUCCACAUCCACACCUAGUUCUGCCUUCAAUGCAGCCAAACUCUUACCUCUCAGACUAUUAAUAGCACCCUUUGCUUUGCCAUUCGACUUAACACCCAAAUCCACUCCUCCCCCGCUAGUUGCUUCACUACCCCAUAUCUUUUUUGACAAAUCGAAGGAUUUCUGGUCAUGAGCUUUCGAAAAUGUCUUAUCUUCACCCUUUUUCCCUUUGCUCACAUGGUUCUCAAACUUCUUCUUUAACCUCCAAACCUUAUCCUUCAACUGGCUUAAAGAGACAUCAAAGUGAAGCGAUUUCUUAAUGAAAUCAUAAAACGAGCUCAUAUCCUUGGCAGGGUCGACUCCUUUCUUUUCACUAAAAUCAAUGAUGCCUUUUAGUACCGCAAUCUCAUCAUCCUCGCUCCAGAGCCGUUGAAACAGUUGUUUCUUCAUAUCCUCAGGCUUUUCAACAGCUCCAUCUGAUUCCGAAUUCUUCUUCUUGGCCCGCUUUGAGUCCUUUGGGUCGCCAUCCGUUUCACUGCCCCUCUUCACCGCCGCCGUUGAUUUCCCGGCAACCUGAGUUGAUGCCGAUGGUUUGGAUCUAGGCUUCGUUGUUUUAAGGGGAGUCUCCUCCAUAAGCUUAGAAGCGAUGGGCUUGACAGUGGCAUCACGGGCAUGAUUAGGUCGACCAUCAUCGGAGUCGGAUUCAGAGUCAGACUCAUCAGAGUCAGACUCGGACCCAGCUUGCUUAGUGGUGGAAUCAGGCUUCUUGGAGACUGAUUUAACAGUUUGAGUCUGUGGCGGUGGUUUAGAAGAUGGAUUUCGUGGGUUCCCCUGCGUUUGUUCUUCUUCAGAUGAAGAUCCCUCUUCCUCUUCUCCAUCUUCUUCCUCCCCACUGGAGCUUUCCUCUUCUUGAGAAGACGAAGCCGCCGGUGGAUCUUCCAAGGGAGUUGAUCGUUUAGGUCCCAUUGAUUUCAACGGAGUCGGAUAAAGCUAGGAUUUUAAGGGAAUUAGGGUCGGAACAAGAACAAUAACUCGAGUAAGACGAUGAAUAGAGAGAGAGAGAGUGAAAAAAGAGCAAGAAAAUCGUCCGGAUUCUAAAAAGUAAGAAAACGGCCGAAAUCUGUAGGGCUUUCUAACCGUUGGAUUUGUA